rnacentral:tRNA from 1 species
GCCCYGAUAGUAUAAACAUUACACUGGUCUUGUAAACCAGUAAUGAAAAAAAAAAUUUUUUCUCAGGGCA